rnacentral:rRNA from 1 species
GCAAUGGGCGCAAGCCUGACGGAGCAAGACCGCGUGGGGGAGGAAGGCUCUUGGGUUGUAAACCCCUUUUCUCAAGGAAGAACACAAUGACGGUACUUGAGGAAUAAGCCUCGGCUAACUCCGUGCCAGCAGCCGCGGUAAUACGGAGGAGGCAAGCGUUAUCCGGAAUGAUUGGGCGUAAAGCGUCCGUAGGUGGCAGUUCAAGUCUGCUGUCAAAGACAGUAGCUCAACUACUGAAAGGCAGUGGAAACUGAACAGCUAGAGUACGGUAGGGGCAGAGGGAAUUCCCGGUGUAGCGGUGAAAUGCGUAGAUAUCGGGAAGAACACCGGUGGCGAAAGCGCUCUGCUGGGCCGUAACUGACACUGAGGGACGAAAGCUAGGGGAGCGAAAGGGAUUAGAUACCCCUGU